CUUUUUUUUUUCUCUUUUUUUUUUUUUUUUUUUAUUAUACCAUGCAAAUGCCUUGCACUGUCAAACAGCAAACAAAACUGUACAUUUACAACUUACAGCUCUGCAGCCAGGGCACACACUCAGCCCAGAGCCCCUGGAGGGACUGAACAGAAGAUACGACAGUGCUGUAUAAAGACAAUGAUGUUGUGGUACUUCAGUUCCCCAGGAAUUACUUUCUUAUGCUGUGUGAAAGCCUUGAGGUGAACACUGGAUACUAUGGUGCCUGUUAUCCCAUAAACAGCUUUCUUCCUUCCAUACAGGUCUGAUCAAGCCUUUGGAAUGAUGCUGGAGGAACUGUGCUACUGGAAAUUAUUUGAGAUAUUUCCUGGCAGAUAAGAAAAGUGAGAGCAUCUCUGAGUGCACAGUUAACAUCUGGAGUAUCUGAUGCUCUGGAAUUGAUGUGCCUCACAAUGCUUUCUUAAGCCAGUGGUUCCAGAAUUUGCUUUUGAUGCUGAAAAUAUCUGUGCUGCUGCAAGAAUGUAAUCUCCAGGAAGCAGUUUUAUAAAGGAUUAGGGUACAGCUCGGCUCUGAAAAAUAACCACACAUAAAAAUGUAUGAGGCCAUAGUUACUAUGUUUCAUAAUUAGUUGGGAUCUGUAUGUGCUUUCUCACUGUAUUUGCACUGUUGCCAAUAAAGAAAAUGUUAUGAAGGACUGGGAUGGGAACGGGAUGUUAUGAUGGAAUGAGGGGAGCAGUCUGCCAUUUUGUUCUCUCUCCCGGUGAUAACAUUUUUUUGAGACUAACAACUGAAAGUAGUAAGAAUCUAUUUCAGUCACCUGAAGUCAGCAGAUGUGACAAUUCACUGAGUGAGCAGAGUAUGUGAGAAGGUGCCGCAUUCACAGUCAAUUUUCAGGGCAGAACUGUGCAGGUAUUUCUCACUCCCAGGAAGAUAUGACUGUUCUGAGGAAAGGCAUGUGUUUUCUCCCCCAGGAGUAACAGCUGUCCAGACACAGGAAGGUAUCUGCUAAGGACCUGACUGCUUAUCUCUGCUGUUUUUAGGUGCUGCUAUACCUCAGUAACGAGCCCAGGGGCAAAACCUGGUGAAUAUGAGAUAAACUUGUAUGUAUGGACAAGACUGGAGCUGAGAAGUGGCUCAUUCAGCUUUUCUUUCUGUGCUAAAAAUGCUGCAAAAUAUUCCUUUAUCCUGGAGAACAACUGGUGCACUUCUCAAAGAGAGUGCCAGCUGAACUCAAUGUGUUGUGUCCCACUGAAGAGAUAAAAUGAUGGCUGCGUUUGAGAGGACAACCAGCAAAACCUUCAGCUUGAAAGAAAAGCAGAAGUCUCCACUGACUAUGCUCCAUUGCUGAUUCAUUAACAAAUAUUAACAAAUAUAUGUUAUUUACUGUUAUUUCACGUUAUUGAGAGCUCACUGGUGCAGCAGCCCUAUUCAAAUUAACUGUGGAGUUCUCAGAACAAAAAGAAAUACCUUUUGAAAGGAAGCCCAGGCCAACGUGCUGCUUACAACCACACAGCAGCUUGACACCACUUCAGCCCAAAUUUCAAGCUGAAUAUCCACUCAGCAGGAGAUAUAUUCAUUUUAAAUUAAACAUGCCAGGAAUCGGACUUCAAAGGGAACAAGAUGAAUUUGUUGUUUCCACACUGGAAAUCCCUCUGUCUCCAUCGGUGAAUGUUGGCUCUGUGUUUUUCCUACUAAAAUUAAUUGCUAUCCACGUUAAACUAGGGCAAUUAGGGCCUGAAAGCUCCUGCGCAGUGGGACUUGGUGGGGGAAUGAGGAGGGAGACGGGAAAAAAAGGGUGACCAGCAGCAAACCAGCCUUUAUCAAGCACAGAAAAGCAACAGGGCCAUGAGAGAGCUCGGGAAAAGGAGCUCUGCUCUGGGUCUUCUUCUUUUAUUAUUUAUUUCUAGCUGUAGUUGCAGAACACAGGAAAUCACACUUUAAAUUAAACCUUUGGUUGCCCUUUAUGUGAACUUGAGAUAUGUGAGAAGGAAGUGUGAAUUUAUUAGAAAAAAUAAAUUGAUUUGUACUACAGAGUAAGCUUUCAUAAAUAAGGAGCUGUGUUUUGCUUGUCUUAUGCAAAUUGCAUUAUAGUAUCAAGGUCAACAUUGUUUGCAAACGUACAAGCAAAUCUCAUGCAGGAAUUACUGGGUGAAGUGCAAUUCCCAGGAGUAUGUGGAAUUUCACAGUAGAUGAUAAGAGUGAUCUCUUCUAGCCAUGAAACCCAUGCUUCCCUGCAAAGCCCAGCAGCCCCAGGAGGCAGGCAGGAUCUCAGGGCUGUGCUGUGCCUCCUCUCUCUCUUCCUCCCCUCUCCCAGGUGCCAGAGAAGCACAACAGGUGAACCUUCCAGGGCUGCUUUAUGUUCCCAGACAUGGCUUGCCAGUUUAUUAUACUAGCCACGUCUGUGUGAGUAAUGUUCCUUAUGUGUUGUCAUACCCGAUGCUGCUGAAUACACAGUGAUAUAUUUCAGCUCCAAAGAGCAUCCCAAUUAAUUUGUCUCUUACAGUCUUUUGCCCCAGGACCAAGAGCCUGUUCUCCACUGUUGUGAUUGCUUUCCUUGCCCCCUGAACCAGAAGACAAGAAGACAGAGAAGCCAUGCUAGUUAGUAAAUGAAACUCUGUCCCCUCCACACCUUUACAUUUAUUCCAAAGACAUCAGCAUUAAUUUAGGGGGGAAAAAAAACAAACAAACAACAA